UUAGCGGCGGACGGGUGAGUAACACGUGGAUAACCUACCUAUAAGACUGGGAUAACUUCGGGAAACCGGAGCUAAUACCGGAUAAUAUUUUGAACCGCAUGGUUCAAAAGUGAAAGACGGUCUUGCUGUCACUUAUAGAUGGAUCCGCGCUGCAUUAGCUAGUUGGUAAGGUAACGGCUUACCAAGGCAACGAUGCAUAGCCGACCUGAGAGGGUGAUCGGCCACACUGGAACUGAGACACGGUCCAGACUCCUACGGGAGGCAGCAGUAGGGAAUCUUCCGCAAUGGG
rnacentral:rRNA from 1 species